CNCUGCAAAUCUAGUCUGCUUCUAUAGAGUGGGAAAUAUACGUUUUACUGGCAGAAUGUUGUUUCCUUAUCUUGAUGAAACUUGAAAGUGCAAAUAUAUCUGGAAAAUUAUUAGAGACAUGAAAGACUAUAAUGAUGGCCAAUGCAUUAUACUGCCAAUCAUCCUCGUAGUGUGCGUGUAUAUAUAUUUGGUGACUCGGGUAUUCUAGCUUCGCCCACCCAAUUAAUUCCGAGGACUGGCAGCGAACAGGACCUUCGGAGGAGCUGCGAAGUGUAUCAUAAUUUUGCCUCCAUAGGACAUCCGUCUUUCAAUAUCAAUGUUGUUUUCCAGCUGUCACGGAGAUUCGAACCUAUGAUGUUUUGUAUAGAACCUUGCUUUACCACUGUGCCUGCCCCUAGGGCACCCUCGUAUAUUUUUCUUUUGUAAAAGCACCAUGGGCCGUCAAUUACUCUACUUUCUCUUGAACCUUGAACAAAAGUCACUCUUGCCGUAAGCUUGACUAAGAGUUUCUUAUUUUCAUCUUGCACCUUCCAAG
rnacentral:lncRNA from 1 species